rnacentral:rRNA from 1 species
UACGUAGGGUGCGAGCGUUGUCCGGAAUUAUUGGGCGUAAAGAGCUCGUAGGCGGCCUGUCGCGUCGGAUGUGAAAAUCCGAGGCUCAACCCCGGACUUGCAGUGGGUACGGGCAGACUAGAGUGUGGUAGGGGAGACUGGAAUUCCUGGUGUAGCGGUGAAAUGCGCAGAUAUCAGGAGGAACACCGGUGGCGAAGGCGGGUCUCUGGGCCGAUACUGACGCUGAGGAGCGAAAGCGUGGGGAGCGAACAGG